CGGGGAGAACAUGCAGACUCCACACAGAAAGGCCACUGGGCGGAAUCGAACCCAGGACCUUCUUGCUGUGAGGCGACAGUGCUAACCACCACGCCACCGUGCCGCCCCUAAGUUAAUUCAAUAUAUUACUUAUUUAUAUAUUAGUAAGCAAGAUCUUUCCAGGAGAACUUGCCAGACUGCCAUCCAAUUUGAAAUAGAUAUUGAUUAUCACGAGAGAAUCAUUUCUAAUCAUCAUGUCCCUAAGGCCAACAUUUCCAUUUGAUCAGGACUAAAGCAUCAUCAACGAUUUAGAUGAUAUUUGGAUUUGUUCAUGAGUUUAUUAUUGAUAAGUAUUGAGAGUCUAAUUCUAAUGUAUUAUCUGCUUAUACAGCAGCCUUUAAUUAUGAGAGUCAACAAUAGGAAUUAUAGUUUUUGAUAAAUACAUUAACAAACUAUAUCUGCUUACUACUCAAUUAUGUUGUUAUCAUGCCGUGUUAUAAACAAGUUAUUUAAUAGUUGUAUACCACUAAUAAGGCUUACCAUUACUGAGGAAAAUCAGCAUUUGCGGUUCUAGAUUCAAGGAGACCCCAUAACUGUGAAGAACCACUUGUAUUUGUGCUCUAGGGGGCCACGAGUUUUGUUGCACAAUUUUUCUACUUCUACAAUCCCUCCGGACGCAAAGAGCAGAUGAAUCAGAUACCAUGGAUGCUCCAUCUGCCAUUGCUUUCCCAUCCUCAUCACACUCAAGCCUGAUAUAUCUGGGAAUAUCCAAAAGGAAAUAUCACAUUAUUAUAACUCCAAUUAACUAAAGACACGACUGCAAACAUUUCGUUUAAAAGGGAUUAAGGCCUCCAGACUGAGCACGCAGAGGCCUCGAGAAGCACGACUUAAAACAAAUCAACUUUUGUAUGUUGCUUCACUAACACUCCUGGCAUGGAUUCGCCCGGUAGUACCAACAUGAAAACACGAGUCGGGUUAAAAAAACGGUAUUGCUCAAAUUAACAAGUAGAAGCCAAUAAAGCAGCCUUAGUGAAGCAUCAAUGUAGGUUAUCAAAGCAGCAGCAGGGAUCAUAAAGCAGCAGGCGGUCUGCGCAGAUAGAAGACAUUAGACAAAGGCUCUCAGUCACUGCUGCACCAGAAAAUCAAUAUGUUGCUGUUAGUCACCACUGUUCUCUCUGUUUAGCGCCUGUAGAUCACAUGGAAACCCCAUUAUCUUACAAUUCUCCUCACCGGCACACAAACAGAAUGAGGUGUCUUGACGGCGACUGGCCAGACACUUAAAAUCGGUAUAGAUGAGCAGGUCUGCCUCUGUUGAUUUUUAUUUAUAUAAGUGUUUUUGGUAGUAGUGAGAGGGAGCAUGUGUCAUACUCAGGCCGAAUAGUGUGCAGUCUGGUGACACACUAAUUAGCGAUGAUGGAGGUGAAAUGCUAGCUGCGUUAGCGUACGUAUAGGUGUCUGUGGGCGAUGCACAGUUUGAGGGAGCAGUCUGGCAGCUGCUUUGCCUCGAGCUUUAAGCUAAUUUAAGAAAAGAAUGGCUCACUAGUUAAAAUAGGGAGGGCAGCUUUGCCGUGUUGACUUGAUGGCCCGGUCUCAAUUACACCCAAAAAUGUGAAUAAUAAUGCUCAUGAUACUCUUUUUUUUUAUAUCUAGGAUGAAUUAAAUGAAGGAAACCGAAAAGGCGAUGAAAAAAUAAUACAUAAAAGCAUAUCUAGAGGGGCGUAAUUUAAAAGGAGAUUUACUGGAUAACAUUGAAAUAACUAGCUCACGUUCCUCAGGCGGGCACGUUCAAUGCUAACCCCCCCUAGCAAAACGGCAAUCCGCUUUAUUCUUGACUCAAGAGUGAGAAGGAGUGAACAGAGCCCGAGGAUCCAGACUCCAAAAGUCUGAAUGUGGCCAGAGGCCAGACGUCGCUUUAGCCUACUUUAAAUGAUCAUCGAGAAGAGAUGACUGCGAGCCAGCGCUCAACAACAUCGCACAAGUUUACGUCACGCUUUAGCCGCCAGCUCGCAGAUGCACCGGUGCAUCGAUUGACGAUACUUUUCAAAAAGGUAUCACAUUUGUCUGAUGGCUCCCAAGUAAUAGACUGUCAAUGUGUGUCUCGUGUUCUUGAUGGGGAUGUGUCAUGGACAUUUGGCUGGCAAUGCGUGAGUCUGACUAAUUCAUUACCGGCUGUGACAGACACAUCCAACUGACAAGCAAAUUCUUCUCCCUUUAUGUGGAGAACGUCUUCAUAGGGCUCGUGGUGAGUUAGUGAAAUAAUACGGCACAAAAGCAUUUGAGAUAGGCUACUUUGCAAAUCAAUACUAUUAUUAUAAUAACAUAAUGCCUUGGGAGAAAUAUUCCACACUCACUGUGCAGAAAAGGCCUACACUGUAAAUGCACAUAUGCUACUAUGUGUGUGUAGACUGUAAGAAUCAGAUCAGAUCAGACUUGGACCAACCUAACCAACCUCAUAGAACAAAUCCAGGGUUUUGCCAAAUGCAUUUUAACUGAAAGUAUUCUGUAAAAUCGUAGCUUUAUUUCAGCAUCAUCAACUUUACAUCAACAUAUCGUGUAUGUACUUAUUUUCCUCUGGAUUAAUAGCAACAAAUCAAACAUCUGCUUUUUUUUUCACUGUUACGGUUCAUUCAAUGACUUUUACCAGUUGCCAAAAGACAGUUCUCAUGCAACUCCAUGUUAUACCCACACGGCAAGUGAAACGAGUGAGAGGUCAAAAGGAGAAAGGAGAAGAGCCUGUCAUAAAGGAAGCGAGGGGGAGUAGAGACUGGAGACUGUCAGGAUCUCUGAUCCCCCCCGAGUUACAGAAUGUUUUUACCACUGCAUGCAUCUCACAAGACCAAUGCUAGAAGAGAUAGAGGGAGGCGCUCGGGUGGUAACAGAGGCACAGGUAACAGAGGUGGUAACAGAAGCACAGGUAACAGAGGUGGUAACAGAGGCACAGGUAUCAGAGGUGGUAACAGAGGCACAGGUAACAGAGGUGGUAACAAAGGCACAGGUAACAGAGGUGGUAACAGAGGCACAGGUAACAGAGGCACAGGUAACAGAGGCACAGGUAACAGAGCUGGUAACAGAGGCACAGGUAACAGAGCUGGUAACAGAGGCACAGGUAUCAGAGGUGGUAAUAGGCACAGGUAACAGAGCUGGUAACAGAGGCACAGGUAUCAGAGGUGGUAAGAGGCAAAGGUAACAGAGGUGGUAACAGAGGCAGGUGCAGGCAGCAAGGGUGACAUGCGUGGUAAAGUGGUUUGGAGAAUGUCAAGUUAAAGCUCGUCAUCCUGUAAUCCCCUUUCUUAAAGCUGCACCACACUGAUAGUUUGUGAAGAUGAUACAGACUUACAGCAUAUGCAGAGGACUUUAAACAGAGUAUUUUACGAUGUUUCCAUCAGUUACCUCAUUCCUAAAAUGACAUAAUGCAAGAAUAUUACAUUAUAAAAUGAAGCAUUCACAGCAAUAUUGACAUCUAGCCUUUUUCGGGGCCCCAAAAAGUUUUUGCUUGUCAUGUCGGGGUUUAGAUCAACGCUCGGCUGCUUUGUUCUACAGUUGGGAUGUUAUGUACAAAAUCGGGUUGCAACCAGAUCUGUUCCUGAAGCUGAAAAUCAACACUGACAGACAUUGUUUUGUUUCAAAUCAAAUGUGCAGGAAUGGAAUCAAAUCAAAGUCACAGGCUGACAGUUAAAUACUACACACAAGACAUUUACACAAUAAUAUGUAUUAUACAGUCAGGCUGGAGGGUGGUGGAGGCAGGUGCGGGCAGUUACAGUCUCCGUAACCGUGUGGGCAGAUACAUAAGGACUGUGCUGGAGAAGUGGUGUGAGAUUUAAGAUGAAGUAGCACGAGUUGCCACAGAAAGGUGGGAACAUUGACUUAUAUUAGUGACAAAAAGUGAUAUGUAGAUGGGAUGAGACAAAGAUUCUGCAGUGCACCUACAGAUGUAACGUUAUCUGUUAAGGUUCAUGGACAAUGGCAGGUGGGAAUGAAGGGGAGAUACCUGGACAAGUGAAACUAAGGCAUUUAUCAUUUGAGGUGAGAAAAAUGUGAGGUUGAGCAAACGUCUGAAUAUACAGUCUUUAUGAAUCAGAACGAUUGAAGUUUAUUAUGGAGAGAUUUUUUUAACCUACUCGGUUUACCUGGUAAUAGCUAUUCAAAGCUACAGCCUCCUUUCCUUGACACAAGAACAUGAGUUUGACUUUGUUUGAAGUGGCAAAGAUACCAAACAUAUUCAAUUUAAUUAAAAACGAAAAUUUACACAGAAUUAUUUGCUAUAUUUAGGCCUUUGAACUUUUCCGACCAUGACAACAAAUAUGAGAUGGAUCCCCACUAUUACACACAGUCCUAGCGUUGUUACACAAACAGCUGUAUAUUUCAAAUGCAUUUCAUUUUGAUUAAAAUAAUAAUUUCAAUAAAAUGUUGUUUAACAACAUUUUCACUCAAUUUAUAAUUAAAUAAAAUGAAUAACAAUCGUUUGGCUACUAUGAUCAUUAUGCUAUUCAAACCAUUAUCAACAAAGCUUUUCAUAAUAAACAGUAAGUUCGUACCAUAGAGCCCUCCAUAUCAGACUACAUUGUAUAUGAUGACUCUUUAACAUCGGAGAUGCAACUCAUUAUGUGUUGAACAGAUAUACAGAUGAACAACUUCAGGGAGGCCGCAUAUUUUAUAUUGAAUAAUGUAGAAUAUUGAAAGAGCCUUGCUGAUAUAUGCCUUUGUUCAAAUAUGAUGUCAUUAUAAGAAGAAACUUUGAACAAUGAUGAAUAAAAUAGGAAUAGCCGAUUCACAUAAUCACAUAUAUUUUGGACACUUUGUAGAUUUGUACCUAAGUGCUAUAGUUAUACACUGUAGUACAGAUGUUUUCUGAAUAUCGGAAAAAUAUAUAUAUUUCAGAAACGAUGGGACAACGUGCAUCGUUUCUCCUCUUUGGCAAGACAGAUAAAGCCCAUUUUUAAAGUGUUCAUGUGUGGAGUUUCUCUGCAAUAGCCAUUCAAUGUAGCGUUAAACUGCACUCACUGUUACUGUGGUAACCGCAGGCAUUGACAGAUCAAUUGAAUCUAUAAUCUUAAUGAUGGCAAAUUGAAGUGUUGUUGGUUCAUGACCAUAUCUUAACCAUAGUUGCUUCAAUCAAAGUCUUGAUUAGUAUUAUUAUAUUUUUCUGUCAUUAACCAGGCUCAACCAGCAGGUUGCCAACAAAACACUCCCAGAAGGUACUUCAUAGACAUUCCUGACAAUGUCUGAAAAUAUGCAAGAUGUUUGCUAAAUUUAAGGCAAGAGGAUUUACAGUACUAUUGUAGAUGCAACAUAAUCAUGUGUUAUUACGCAAAUUAAUAAAUACAGAGGGGCAAUCAAUUAUAAUUUCAUAGUUUAUCUACAGAGAUAAUACAGGCUGCUCUAACAUCAUGUAUGUGGGGGCAUCGUACAGGUGGCAUAAGGAAUCUAGAUGCACGGCAUAGGGGAAACAUUGCAAAUUUUGAAACAGAGGAUCAAUCACAAAUUGGAAGCCUAAAGAAAACGUUGGUGGAACAUAAGCCUGCUUCAUCGUCUCUGACUGGGAGAAUGUUGACUCAGGAUCAUCAUUCCUUUGAGUAAAUACAUACAGUUUACUUUGGCACGCUAUUCAAGCUGCCAACAAGGCUGGCUAAAUGUAAACGUUGCCUUGUGAGGACUGUCACGUUCAGUGUGCCUCUACUGUUGGGCUAGCUGCGUUGAUGAUGCGUUGGAUUAAGGCGCCGAGACUCGCCGUAUGCAAGAUGCUUUCUGCUGAAAUAAUUAUUAAGCCCAAAAGAGUUAAAAGGUUUCCUCCAUUCCAAAGAUACUGAGACUUUAUAGCUCGCUAAAUUCUGACAACGUGAGAUUUCUCCCAUAGUCUUUGCAUAAUAAUUGAUCUUUUGAAUUCUGUUCAUUAACGGAAUAAUCCAUACAUGUUUGUAUUUGACAGGGAACAUACAAUGUGCUUGGUCAAAUAUUUCAACAAUAAGUAGAUAACAACAUAUUAUUAUAAUAAUUUGUUUUAAUAAGCUGAUAACAAAACCCCAAAGUAAAAUUAGACAUCAUGCCUCAUUUAGCCUGACAGCCAAAUAUAAAACGUCAAAUGAAGGAGUGCCAAUUAAUUGACAGAAUGCUACCUGCUAGUCCUCAGAGGUCAGCGCUUUUUAAACAUGGACUCUUCUUUUUUUAGAGGAAUGGAGCAUUGAGUUGUUUAAGGUAGGGCACCUGCAUGCCAUCGGCUGAUCAGUAUCAACUGACUCCUACAAUCACCUUUUAGAGAAAAACAAGGCAAUUAGGUGGUCCCGAUAAUCCGACAAGCACUCUCGCCCCCGUGAUUAUUCAUGUCACUUCUUCCGGUACAGGGUCGUAGCCUGCACGUACGCUCCGAUGCUGCUUGGUCAUCUGUUAAGCACCCUGAAAUGCAGUGCAUUUUAUCUGCAUAUCAUCUAUUUGCAACAAAAUCGCACUGAAUCCUUUGAUGUAUGUAAGUGUCUGACUGAACUGCCUGACUUUUUGCAGGAGCGCUGAACAAAGCAGCGGUUUUAGCACUCCACAACCUGCUACAGCCUGCAGACCUCACUAAAACUGAUCUUCGUGUUCAUCAAGUUCAACUGGUCGGAUGGGGUGUUGGAUAAUUGAAAGUACGCUACGAUAAAUGUUUAAUACUGUAUUGAAACAAGCCUACACAACCAACGGCUAUUAUUCAUGGGAAAACAGCCAGAUACAACAAAAAUAAAACAAAUGACUUUUUCAUAAUAAAGCCUGACAUUUUUUUAAAUUGAAAAAAGAAUUGCAUUGAAAAAAGGAAAUGACUAGAAUGAAUUUUAAUUUGGGAUUUGAUUCAUUCUUCCAUUUUUUCCAUUCUUUCCUAAUAUAAUAGUUUGUAACACAUUGUAUGCUUAAUUACAAUACAUAUAUAUAUAUAUAUAUA
ensembl:lncRNA